AAACGAUGAAGGGUCCCACCGUACCCGGU
rnacentral:sRNA from 1 species